rnacentral:tRNA from 1 species
UCGGGAUAGCUCAGCUGGUARAGCASAGGACUGAAAAUCCUCGUGUCAC